rnacentral:rRNA from 1 species
AGUGGACGCUGGCGGUAGGCCUAACACAUGCAAGUCGAACGGCAGCACAGUAAGAGCUUGCUCUUACGGGUGGCGAGUGGCGGACGGGUGAGGAAUACAUCGGAAUCUACUUUUUCGUGGGGGAUAACGUAGGGAAACUUACGCUAAUACCGCAUACGACCUACGGGUGAAAGCAGGGGAUCUUCGGACCUUGCGCGAUUGAAUGAGCCGAUGUCGGAUUAGCUAGUUGGCGGGGUAAAGGCCCACCAAGGCGACGAUCCGUAGCUGGUCUGAGAGGAUGGGCAGGGACGAGGGAACGGAGACACGGUGCAGAGUCCUACGGGAGGCAGGCGAGGGGAAGAUUGGACAAUGGGCGCAAGCCUGAUCCAGCCAUACCGCGUGGGUGAAGAAGGCCUUCGGGUUGUAAAGCCCUUUUGUGGGGAAAGAAAAGCAGCAGGUUAAUACCCCGCUGUUCUGACGGUACCCAAAGAAUAAGCACCGGAUAAAUUCGUG